CAAAUAGGGGCCUGAGUUCUGCUUGUGGGACCCCCAAGGUCUUCUGAUAAAACCUCUAUCUGGGCCCUUUGAAUGCCUCCUGCCACUCUGAAGGCUCACAUCGCUGCUUCCCUCCACCCUAGAUUGUCUAUGCUCCUCAUUCAGAAGCAAAAACAAGAUCUCUUGGAAUUAGCUCAAAAGCUGAAUGAAAGAAAAAACGUGUCCCUGCUCCUUAAGGAGCGUCUGGAGGUCCUCCUCAGAAGAGAUCACCCUGAGACCAGCCAAGGCUGUUGCCACCACCAGGGUCAGCCCAAGGGCUGCAGGCUGGCUGAGCAGCUGGGCCACAACCUCAACCCAGCAGUGAGAGCACAGACAGCCAGCGAGAUGAGGAGCAGGCAGAGGAACUCCAGGCCUCCCAGGGUGAGGAGCACAAGACUUUCCCUGGUGACUGUGAGGCUGGUGACACCCAGCAGCCUCCCUGUGCCACUGCAGCCCUGGUGGAUGAGGCUGAGGCCCCUUCUCC
rnacentral:lncRNA from 1 species